AUCUAGAGGAAGAUCAGGCUGUGGCUGCACUGACAGACAGCUUUGAAAAGUCACAUUUUGAUAUGCAUGUGAUAUGUGGUCUUUAGGCUGCAGCCUGGCCUAUCAGUCCUGACCUCAAGCCAUCGUACUUCAGGAGCACUGAAAAAAUGUAUACAAAUCCCCGAACGGGACUGAAGACAUGACGCUGGCGUCCUCCAUGGUGGACCUGUUUACAGUCUUCACUCAGCUGAUAACCAACUAGGUUCAGACGGCUC